AAAGAUUAAGCCAUGCAUGUGUCAGUACGAGCCUUCCUUAGUGUGAAACCGCAAACGGCUCAUUAAAUCAGUCAUAAUUUACUGGAUGUCGGUUAUCCGUUUACUCGGAUAACUGUGGCAAUUCUAGAGCUAAUACGUGCAACUGAGCUCCGACACCCAGCCGAUAUUCGCGCGGCGAGUCUCCGACUCGUCGCGGGCUCUGUCGGUUCGGGCGGAAGGGCGCAAUUAUUAGAAUCACAAACCGAGCGGGCUUCCGGGCCCGUCCAUUAACCGUUUCGGUUGUGAUGACUCUGGAUAAUCUUGCCGAGCGAUGAGGCCUUAGCGCCGACGCUGCGUCCUUCGAGAGACUGCCUUAUCAGCUUUCGAUCGUAGGUUAGACGCCUACGAUGGCUGUAACGGGUAACGGGGAAUCAGGGUUCGAUUCCGGAGAGGGAGCCUGAGAAACGGCUACCACAUCUAAGGAAGGCAGCAGGCACGCAAAUUACCCACUCCUGGCUCUGGGAGGUAGUGACGAUAAAUAACGAUGCGGGACUCAUCCGAGGCCUCGCAAUCGGAAUGAGAUCAGUCUAAACCUUUGGACGAGGAUCCAUUGGAGGGCAAGUCUGGUGCCAGCAGCCGCGGUAAUUCCAGCUCCAAUAGCGUAUAUUUAAAUUGCUGCGGUUAAAAAGCUCGAAGUUGGAACUUCGGGGCGUUCCGUCGGGCCACUCUUCGGUCACGCCCGACGUCCUCGCCGCUAUACGCGCUUCGGCUCCCUUUCGCUUCCCGAAGGAACCCUUUCUUUUUCCUCCUCCUCGGAGUCGUCUACGCUUCGCCUUCGGGCGUCGGUCGGGGCGGUCUCGUUCAAACGGGGUUGGGGAAAAGCCACGAAAGAUCCUUCGCCUACGGGCGGCGUUAGAGGGGUCGUACGCGGGUACGGCGGGGGUCUGCGCGGCCGUCGGUGGAUACACCGAUCGGUUACGUCCCCGAUUUUAUAUCGAUUCGCCGGCGCUCACGGGGUGCUCUUUACCGAGUGUCUCGCGUGGCCGACGACGAUCACUUUGAACAAAUUAGAGUGCUCAAAGCAGGCAAAAAACUUAAACGCCUGAAUAGCAAUUCAUUGAAUGAUGGAACAUGACCUCAGAUCUCCUUUAUUUUUUUCUCGGUUUUUACCCGAAUCCGAGGUAAUGAUUAAAGGGGGCGGACGGGGGCAUUAGUAUUGCGACGCGAGGGGUGAAAUCCGUUGACCGUCGCAAGACUGCCUACUGCGAAAGCAUUUGCCAAGAACGCUUUCAUUAAUCUAGAACGAAAGUUAGAGGAUCGAAGGCGAUCAGAUACCGCCCUAGUUCUAACCGUAAACUAUGCCAACUAGCGAUCCGCGUACAGUCAUUCCCAAGACUGCGCGGGAAGCCCCCGGGAAACCGAAGUUUUUGGGUUCCGGGGGUAGUAUGGUUGCAAAACUGAAACUUAAAGGAAUUGACGGAAGGGCACCACCAGGAGUGGAGCCUGCGGCUUAAUUUGACUCAACACGGGAAACCUCACCAGGCCCGGACACCGGAAGGAUUGACAGAUUGAGAGCUCUUUCUCGAUUCGGUGGUUGGUGGUGCAUGGCCGUUCUUAGUUGGUGGAGCGAUUUGUCUGGUUAAUUCCGAUAACGAACAAGACUCUGGCCUAUUAACUAGUCGGCGGAUCGUUUCCCGAGGCGGGUUUCCCCCUUUUCAACGCGCUCGGUCGAGGGCGUGGCGGUCGACUCGGUCUCGUUUCGCGCGGUUGCGCGCGCGCUUUCCCCCCCACACUUCCGUACGGGAUGACGGGGGCGUCCUUUUUAAGGGCGUCUUCUCUCUCGNCGCGGUCGGUGGAAGGGGGUGGCGCGCGUUAGCUCCGCGGCCAACGGGGCGGGAUCGAAGGCCGUCGCGUCUAACCGGCCGUCGCGAAGAAGGGGGUCCCGACGAGGGGCGUCCGUCGUAAAAAUCAAAUCUUCUUAGAGGGACCCACGGUCUCGAAACCGUACGAGAAAGAGCAAUAACAGGUCUGUGAUGCCCUUAGAUGUCCUGGGCCGCACGCGUGCUACAAUGGAGGGAGCAGCGUGCUUUCCAACUCCGAGAGGAGCGGGUAACCCUUUGAAACCCCUUCCCGAUUGGGAUUGGGGGUUGCAAUGGUAGCCCAUGAACGAGGAAUCCCUUGUAAGCGCGAGUCAUAAGCUCGCGAUGAAUACGUCCCUGCCCUUUGUACACACCGCCCGUCGCUACUACCGAUGAAUGAUUAAGUGAGAGCGUCCAACCCGCGGCC
rnacentral:rRNA from 1 species